ensembl:lncRNA
GGAGAGGGCUGGAGAGAGCGUGAGGGCAGGGUCUAGCAUCUGUAACCCUGGCCCCCUCAUUCCCACCAGCAGGCCAAGGGCAUCGACAGUAGUCAGGCACCCCAGACAGGCCAGGGUGAGGAGGAGGAGAAGUGGAUCUGAGAAGAGGACAGUGGUCUGUGAAGGGGCUGGAUCUGAGGCUGGGAUUGGGUCUGAGGCUGGGAUUGGGUCUGAGGCUGGGAUUGGGUCUGAGGCUGGGAUUGGGGAGAUGACUGGUUCUAGUGUUACUCUCUCUGUGGACUCCAGGGUGAGGAGGAGGAGAAGUGGAUCUAAGAAGAGGACAGUGUUCUGGUCUGAGGACCAGGAUGUACAACCAGACUCCAGGGUGAAGUUUCCCCUCAGUACAGAUCUAGGAUCAGCUCCCCCAAUUCUAAUUUUAACUACUAGUGACAAAAAUCCAGAACUGACCCAAUAUCAGCAUCUAGGGGCAACUUCACCUCCCUACACCGUACAACCAGACUGUGCCACUGCAAUAAGUGAUCACCCACUUCCACGGACCAAUACCUCAACUUCAAUCAGGACAAUAAAUGGUAAACAGGUUGAAUUUAAUACCAAGUAGCAACUCACACAACUCCGAUGGCACCAAACAUCUGUAUGCAAGGGUGUGAAUCCACAUUAAAAUAUUGUACAGACCAGAUACAUCUCAAUGAUUAUUGUUGCCUGAGUAAGAUGUGAUGAGUUUUGGCAUGUAUCUACAGAUUGUGUAUCUAAUGUGUGAUCAAUACUACAAGUUUCUUCACUUUUUUAAUGUUUUUUUGUGUGUGGAUGUGACUGAGUAAAUUGCCAAAUGUCUUUCGUCUAGAGAGACAGUACAAGUUUAUCAUGUUCAGGGGCAAUAAGUUGUUUUAUAAAGAUAUAGUAUAUCUUUUGAAUACUACAUCAAGUUAUGUCUGUAUUUAUCCUUUAGUUAUUUAUGUAUUAAUUUAUUAAUGUAGCUAUUUACAUAACCGUGGGAAGUGGUUUUGGGGGGGUCGGGGUGCUGCAGGUUUUUCCCCUCGCUAGAGACUAAUGGUUUGGGGGGUCGGGGUGCUGCAGGUUUUUCCCCUCACUAGAGACUAAUGGUUUGGGGGUGUCGGGUGCUGCAGGUUUUUCCCCUCGCUAGAGACUAAUGGUUUGCUAGUACAGGACUGGUAAAUGCUGUGACUUCUGGCACUACUUUGGUGACAUAUUUUUUACUAAAUGUAUUUGAGUGUUCACCAGCAUUUGUAACUUGAGUCUGAUUUAAUUAUCUGUACAAAACAGUUAAUCUGAUAAUACCUGUGGAAUAUAAAAAUACUUGCUUGAUAUGUUUUCCAGUUUCUUAAAAUGCAACUUCUUUCUAAAUAAAAACUCAAAUGGUUAAUUUCAU